rnacentral:rRNA from 1 species
GCAGCGGGCCCGCAAGGGUGCCGGCGAGCGGCGGACGGGUGAGCAAUACAUAGGAAUCUACCUUAGAGCGGGGGAUAGCCCGGGGAAACCCGGAUUAAUACCGCAUGAUGUCGAGAGACCAAAGUGGGGGAUCGUAAGACCUCACACUCUGAGAUGAGCCUAUGUCGGAUUAGCUAGUUGGCGGGGUAACGGCCCACCAAGGCGACGAUCCGUAGCUGGUCUGAGAGGACGAUCAGCCACACCGGAACUGAGACACGGUCCGGACUCCUACGGGAGGCAGCAGUGGGGAAUAUUGGACAAUGGGCGAAAGCCUGAUCCAGCGACGCCGCGUGGGUGAAGAAGGCCUUCGGGUUGUAAAGCCCUUUAAGCCGGGACGAAAAAGCUGCACCUAACACGUGCGGCCUUGACGGUACCGGAAGAAUAAGCACCGGCUAACUCUGUGCCAGCAGCCGCGGUAAUACAGAGGGUGCGAGCGUUAAUCGGAUUUACUGGGCGUAAAGCGUGUGUAGGUGGCUCGCUAAGUCGAUUGUGAAAUCCCUGGGCUCAACCUGGGAAUUGCAGUCGAUACUGGCAAGCUCGAGUUCGGUAGAGGGCGGCGGAAUUCCCGGUGUAGCGGUGAAAUGCGUAGAUAUCGGGAGGAACAUCGAUGGCGAAAGCAACCGCCUGGGCCUGAACUGACACUGUGACACGAAAGCGUGGGGAGCAAACAGGAUUAGAUACCCUGGUAGUCCACGCCGUAAACGAUGGGAACCUGACGUCGGCCUGCCCUGCAGGUCGGUGUCGUAGCUAACGCGCUAAGUUCCCCGCCUGGGGAGUACGGCCGCAAGGUUGAAGCUCAAAGGAAUUGACGGG